rnacentral:rRNA from 1 species
GAUGAACGCUGGCGGCGUGCCUAAUACAUGCAAGUCGAGCGAACGGACGAGAAGCUUGCUUUUCUGACGUUAGCGGAGGACGGGUGAGUAACACGUGGAUAACCUACCUAUAAGACGGGGAUAACUUCGGGAAACCGGAGCUUAUCCCGGAGAAUAUUUUGCACCGCAUGGUUCAAAAGAGAGAGACGGUCUUGCUGUAUCUUAUAGAUGGUUCCGCGCUGCAUUAGCUAGUUGGUAGGGUAACGGCUUACCAAGGCAACGAUGCAUAACCGACCUGAGAGAGUGAUAGGCCACACGGGAACUGAGCCACGGUCCAGACUCCUACGAGAGGCAGCAGUAGGCAAUCUUCCGCAGUGGGCGGGAGCCUGACGGAGCGGCGCGGCGUGAGUGAUGAAGGUCUUCGGAUCGUAAAACUCUGUUAUUAGGGAAGAACAUAUGUGUAAGUAACUGUGCACAUCUUGACGGUACCUAAUCAGAAAGCCACGGCUAACUACGUG